GACGAACGCUGGCGGCGUGCUUGACACAUGCAAGUCGAACGGAAAGGCCCUGCUUUUGUGGGGUGCUCGAGUGGCGAACGGGUGAGUAACACGUGAGUAACCUGCCCUUGACUUUGGGAUAACUUCUGGAAACUGGGGCUAAUACCGGAUAGGAGCUCCUGCUGCAUGGUGGGGGUUGGAAAGUUUCGGCGGUUGGGGAUGGACUCGCGGCUUAUCAGCUUGUUGGUGGGGUAGUGGCUUACCAAGGCUUUGACGGGUAGCCGGCCUGAGAGGGUGACCGGCCACAUUGGGACUGAGAUACGGCCCAGACGCCUACGGGAGGCAGCAGUGGGGAAUAUUGCACAAUGGGCGGAAGCCUGAUGCAGCAGCGCCGCGUGCGGGAUGACGGCCUUCGGGUUGUAAACCGCUUUCGCCUGUGACGAAGCGUGAGUGACGGUAAUGGGUAAAGAAGCACCGGCUAACUACGUG
rnacentral:rRNA from 1 species